UACGUAGGGGGCUAGCGUUGUCCGGAAUUACUGGGCGUAAAGAGCUCGUAGGUGGUUUGUCGCGUUGUUCGUGAAAACUCACAGCUUAACUGUGGGCGUGCGGGCGAUACGGGCAGACUGGAGUACUGCAGGGGAGACUGGAAUUCCUGGUGUAGCGGUGGAAUGCGCAGAUAUCAGGAGGAACACCGGUGGCGAAGGCGGGUCUCUGGGCAGUAACUGACGUUGAGGAGCGAAAGCGUGGGGAGCGAACAGG
rnacentral:rRNA from 1 species